UGGGGAAUAUUGCACAAUGGGCGCAAGCCUGAUGCAGCCAUGCCGCGUGUAUGAAGAGGGCCUUCGGGUUGUAAAGUACUUUCAGCGGGGAGGAAGGUGUUGAGGCUAAUAACCUCAGCAAUUGACGUUACCCGCAGAAGAAGCACCGGCUAACUCCGUGCCAGCAGCCGCGGUAAUACGGAGGGUGCAAGCGUUAAUCGGAAUUACUGGGCGUAAAGCGCACGCAGGCGGUCUGUCAAGUCGGAUGUGAAAUCCCCGGGCUCAACCUGGGAACUGCAUUCGAAACUGGCAGGCUAGAGUCUUGUAGAGGGGGGUAGAAUUCCAGGUGUAGCGGUGAAAUGCGUAGAGAUCUGGAGGAAUACCGGUGGCGAAGGCGGCCCCCUGGACAAAGACUGACGCUCAGGUGCGAAAGCGUGGGGAGCAAACA
rnacentral:rRNA from 1 species